UGAUAUAUAUUCUCUUUAUCAUCCUUUCCAUUCUCCAGGUCAGCUGAUAUAUAUUCUCUUUAUCAUCUUUUCCAUUCUCCAUGUAAGCUGAUAUACAUUCUCUUUAUCAUCCUUUCCAUUCUCCAGGUCAGCUGAUAUAUAUUCUCUUUAUCAUCCUUUCCAUUCUCCAGGUCAGCAGACAUAUAUUCUCCAGAUCAGCUGAUAUAUAUUCUCUUUAUCAUCCUUUCCAUUCUCCAGGUCAGCUGAUAUACAUUCUCUCUAUAUCAUCCUAUCCAUUCUCCAGGUAAGCUGAUAUAAAUUUUCUUUAUCAUCCUUUCCAUUCUCCCGGUCAGCUGAUAUACAUUCUCUCUAUCAUCCUUUCCAUUCUCCAGAAUCCGCACAGAUUGCAGAAUCCGAACCCCAGGACACAAAUAAUAUAACUGGAAUAGAUCUGGGUAUUUGGGAGGACU